rnacentral:misc_RNA from 1 species
ACAGUAUAUAGCAGAAUAUCUCCUUUGAGAUGUUUGUGUUUCGUAUACUCAAGCUUGGAAUGAAAGGUGCCCAGUAAGAUGUUUGAAUGAUAUAAACAUUAAACACAAGAUAUAAAGGAGAGAUGUUUGUAUGAAAAUUCAUCAUUUCAUUCCAGUAGCACUUCAGAUGUUGUUGUUAAACUGUUUCAAUAACAGGAAUAAUUUGAUGUUGAUAUGAGGGUUAUUUACAUGAAAGAGAGGGAGAGAAAGAGAGAGAGAGAUGACAGGAGAGAGAGAUUUUUUUACUGUGCAUUAAUCUGUGGCACACAGUUUUACUUUUGAAUUAAGACUAAUGGUAUUAAGACUAAUGUUACUUGAACUUGUGCAGAAGCUUAGCAUUUUUGUUUAACUAUGAUAACUAUUAUUUUUAUAACACUACGUGUAACUGUUUACUAUCAUCUUGCUUAACGAUGGAUCUGGAAUAAAACCUUGCAUAAUAUCACUCAAACAUAUUGUCAACAGAGUAUGUUUUUGAAUUACGUCGAAAAGUUAAAUUCCUUAUAUUUUUUUACAGUAAACAGUGAUUGUUAUUUUAUUACUUCUCAUAUUAAAUUUUGUAAU